UACGUAGGGUGCAAGCGUUUGUCCGGAAUUAUUGGGCGUAAAGAGCUCGUAGGCGGUUUGUCGCGUCUGCUGUGAAAACGCGAGGCUCAACCUCGCGCCUGCAGUGGGUACGGGCAGACUAGAGUGCGGUAGGGGAGAUUGGAAUUCCUGGUGUAGCGGUGGAAUGCGCAGAUAUCAGGAGGAACACCGGUGGCGAAGGCGGGUCUCUGGGCCAUUACUGACGCUGAGGAGCGAAAGCGUGGGGAGCGAACAGG
rnacentral:rRNA from 1 species